GCAUUACAUACAUGCAUGAAUAAUUUAUAGGCCCAUGUGUAGCUUUGAGUUCUCUGUGGUAUAAAAGGAUUAGCAGAUUUGAAGACAGAUGCAACAAAAAGUGAUUCCUGUACUACAUAUAUGAUUGCAUAUACGUAUUGCAUAUAUGCAAUGCUACAUAUAUGGUAAAGUGGUCCAAAAAGUGCUGACAAAGCAUUCAUACCUUCCAGGGUAUAAAAGUUUGAAAAAAAGGACCAAGACAAAUUCAUUUUCUAUAACUCUUUACAAAAUCAUACUGUGGUACAAGGCAAUCAAAAAUUCAUUGAAUUUUUGCUAUUUAAAAAAUUUCAUUAAUUUAUUUAUUUAUGGUUUUGAGAUAGGAAGUCUCACCCUGUUUCCUAGGCUGGUCUUGAACUCUUGGGUUCAAGGGAUCCUCCUGCCUCGGCCUCCCAAGGUGCUGAGACUACAGGCGUGAGCCACCAUGUCUGGCCACUAUUUACUACCAGUAUUAAAAUUUCUACCAUUUUUACACAGAGGCACUAUUUCCACUUAGGCUGUGUGUCAAAUCUGCAUUUACAGGCUAAGUGAGGAACUUAGCUACUAUUUAUAGUAUUAAUUACAUGAUAAUCUGUGUAAGCUCCCAACAAUCAUCUUACAAAUGAAUUCUACAGAAUACAACCUUUUUAUUAUCAAAAGGAAGUUACAUGUUUAUUAAUUAGUAUCACAAUAAACAGGUAUUAUUAAUACUAUUUUAUGGAUAUAGGAAUCUAGGCACAAAAAUAAAGUUUCCUUGACCCACAUAAUGAGAUAAAAUAUGAACCCAGAACUAGAGAUUACAUCAGAUUCCUAUACACCUAUAUUCAUUAACAGUACAACUCUACAACUGUGGCAUAGUCCUACAACAGAAUAUUAAAACCUAGAGAUAAAAAAAAAAAUAAAAAAAAAUUGGUCCAACUUUCUGUCUGAAGGCAGGAAUUAUUAUUAUCUGCUUAUUACAGAGAGUGGAGAAUUAGUUGGUCAAGGGCAAAUCUAAAAAUUUAGGAAAACUUCAAAUUCAAAGCCUCCAGAAACUCAUCAAACUUGCCAGUAUUACUUACCCUACUUCAAGAAGACAUAUAUGAAACAGAAUGGAGUUUCUGAUUUCA
rnacentral:lncRNA from 1 species